GACUGGGGCUCAACCCCAGGGGUGCGUUGGAUACUGUGAGGCUAGACGGUCGGAGGGGGUAGCGGAAUUUCCGGAGUAGCGGUGAAAUGCGCAGAUACCGGAAGGAACGCCAAUAGCGAAGGCAGCUACCUGGACGACUUGUGACGCUGAGGCGCGAAAGCGUGGGGAGCAAACCGGAUUAGAUACCCGGGUAGUCCACGCCCUAAACCAUGAGUGCUGGGUGUCCGGCUUCUGCUGGGUGCCGUAGCUAACGCGCUAAGCACUCCGCCUGGGAAGUACGCACGCAAGUGUGAAACUCAAAGGAAUUGACGGGGGCCCGCACAAGCGGUGGAGCAUGUGGUUUAAUUCGAAGCGACGCGAAGAACCUUACCAGGCCUUGACAUGCCCGGAACCCCUCUGAAAGGAGGGGGUGCCCGCAAGGGAGCCGGGACACAGGUGCUGCAUGGCCGUCGUCAGCUCGUGUCGUGAGAUGUUGGGUUAAGUCCCGCAACGAGCGCAACCCCUAUCCCUAGUUGCCAGCAGUUCGGCUGGGCACUCUAUGGAGACUGCCUGCGAAAGCAGGAGGAAGGCGGGGAUGACGUCUGGUCCGCAUGGCCCUUACGGCCUGGGCGACACACGUGCUACAAUGCCAAGGACAGAGCGCUGCUACCUCGCGAGAGGACGCCAAUCGCAAAAACCUUGGCUCAGUUCGGAUUGGAGUCUGCAACUCGACUCCAUGAAG
rnacentral:rRNA from 1 species